GACGAACGCUGGCGGCGUGCUUAACACAUGCAAGUCGAACGGAAAGGCCCUGCUUUUGUGGGGUGCUCGAGUGGCGAACGGGUGAGUAACACGUGAGUAACCUGCCCUUGACUUUGGGAUAACUUCAGGAAACUGGGGCUAAUACCGGAUAGGAGCUCCUGCUGCAUGGUGGGGGUUGGAAAGUUUCGGCGGUUGGGGAUGGACUCGCGGCUUAUCAGCUUGUUGGUGGGGUAGUGGCUUACCAAGGCUUUGACGGGUAGCCGGCCUGAGAGGGUGACCGGCCACAUUGGGACUGAGGUACGGACCAGAGUCCUACGGGGGGCAGCGGUGGGGAAUAUUACACAGUGGGCGGAAGCCUGGUGCAGCAACGCCGCGUGCGGGAAGAGGGCCUUCGGGGUGUAAACCGCUUUCGCCUGAGACGAAGCGUGAGUGACGGUAAUGGGUAAAGAAGCACCGGCUAACUACGUG
rnacentral:rRNA from 1 species